rnacentral:rRNA from 1 species
AGAUUGAACGCUGGCGGAAUGCCUUACACAUGCAAGUCGAACGGCAGCACGGGAGCAAUCCCGGUGGCGAGUGGCGAACGGGUGAGUAAUACAUCGGAACGUGCCCAAUCGUGGGGGAUAACGUAGCGAAAGCUACGCUAAUACCGCAUACGAUCUACGGAUGAAAGCGGGGGAUUCGCAAGGACCUCGCGCGAAUGGAGCGGCCGAUGGCAGAUUAGGUAGUUGGUGGGGUAAAGGCUCACCAAGCCUUCGAUCUGUAGCUGGUCUGAGAGGACGACCAGCCACACUGGGACUGAGACACGGCCCAGACUCCUACGGGAGGCAGCAGUGGGGAAUAUUGGACAAUGGGGGAAACCCUGAUCCAGCAAUGCCGCGUGGGUGAAGAAGGUCUUCGGAUUGUAAAGCCCUUUCGGCGGGGACGAUGAUGACGGUACCCGCAGAAGAAGCCCCGGCUAACUUCGUGCCAGCAGCCGC